AAUCCGAAAGCUUUCGAUUUUGAACCAUACAAACAUCUCUCCCAUGGCGGAAACUCGAAACUCGUAACUAGAGAAGAAGCAGCUGUAACUAGAGAAUGGCUUGUGUCUCGACAUGCUUACUCAUCUCCCCUAGGCUAACUCAAUCGGAGCUCUCAUCAAAAAAGCCUUCGAUUCGCCUCAGAUCUCCCUUUCCCAGUGGAAAGCUAACGGAGAGGUCCCCGAGCCGUCGCCGGAAGUUCAACAACCGUCGAAUCUCGGUGGUGAGGGCGGCGAGUAUAGAUAAUAAGCUCACCGGCGGCGCAAUCAGACCGGGAGGACUGGUGGAGAGCGACAAGAUACCUACUGAUGUCCGAAAACGAGCUAUGGAAGCUGUGGACGAGUGUGGUCGGAGAGUCACUGUCGGUGACGUGGCUAGCAGAGCUGGUCUGAACGUUACACAAGCUCAGACAGCGCUUCAGGCUCUCGCCGCGGACACUGAUGGGUUUCUCGAGGUCUCAGAUGAAGGUGAUGUGCUUUAUGUAUUCCCAAGGGACUAUCGGUCUAAGCUAGCUACCAAGUCGUUAAGGGUACAGAUUGAACCGUUUCUUGAGAAGGCAAAGGGUGCUGCUGACUAUCUGACUCGUGUCUCAUUUGGCACUGCGCUUAUUGCGUCUAUUGUUAUCGUCUACACAACAAUUAUAGUCUUGAUUUCAAGCAGAAGUGAGGAUGAUAAUCGUCAGAGGAGACGUGGGCGAGGAUAUGAUUCUGGAUUCAAUUUCUAUAUCAAUCCUAUCGAUUUAUUUUGGUAUUGGGAUCCCAACUAUUACAGAAGGCGGCGAGCUCGAGAAGAUGAAGGAAAGGGAAUGAAUUUCAUUGAAUCUGUUUUCUCCUUUGUGUUUGGAGAUGGAGACCCAAAUCAAGGGAUUGAAGAAGAGAGGUGGCAGAUGAUUGGGAGGUAUAUAACUUCUAGAGGAGGUGUUGUUGCAGCUGACGAGCUUGCUCCAUACCUUGAUGUGUCAUCUUCCAAGAGUGCUAUGAGCGAUGAAUCCUACAUUCUUCCUGUUCUUCUUCGGUUUGAUGGUCAACCUGAGUUGGAUGAUGAGGGAAACAUUCUGUAUCGCUUUCCAUCCCUGCAACGCACAGCUUCUGGAUCUGGUAGAAGAAAGGAAUACGUGGGGAAAUGGUUUGACUUUGUUGCAGAUAUGGAGAAGUUCUUCAAGGAGAAAAAAUGGCAAUUUAGUAAAACUAGUUCAUCCGAGAGAGCUUUGGUCGUUGGCCUAGGUGCUUUUAAUCUCUUUGGUGUCAUUGUUCUAAACUCCUUGCUAAAGGAGAUGGCUGUCACACCAAGUGGGUUUCUUACAUUUGUUAAGAACAUAUAUCCACUACUUCAGGUAUACGCAGGUUCAUUCUUUGCAAUCCCUUUGAUUCGGUGGUUUUCAAUCAAGAGAAAGAAUGACCAGAUAGAGAAUAGAAACAAAGCUCGGCUACAGUUUGCACGAGCACUAGAGUCUCCUGAUAUCGCUCUACGCCGUAAGCUACUAAGUGCAAGGGACAUGGCUCAAAAUACAGUGAUAGGGAAGGAGAGGAUAGUGUAUACUACAGAUAAAGAUAUGAUUGAACAAGACUAUGAGGCAGAGGAAUGGGACAGACGAUUCCGUGAGGUGGAAAAAUCAGAUUAAAAAAAAUGUGAAAUCAGGGACUUGUGACAGCAACUCACACUUGAUCCGCAACACAUGAACUGUCUCAAUAACUUUACUUGGACACGCAUCAAGUUGCUGCGGAUGACACAAGGGCAUGGUACAUACUAUAUAGACAUUGUUCUUCUCUUUGAGACAGAGAAAGUCAUUAAGGUCUCUUAAGUUAACACAAACCAUACAUGCACUGGGUCUUGUACUCUUUGUUUAUAUGUUAUGCAUUCAAGAGAUCCCAAGUAUAUUUGCUUGUUGGGGAGAGUGACAAAAAACAUAUGCAGUAGAAGAUUAUGUACAGUGAUAUAUAUAUACACAAAAGUCCAUUUUCUUGGUCAUGAGAA